UGAACGCUAGCGGCAGGCCUAAUACAUGCAAGUCGAGCGGCAAGUCGAGGAGUAAUCUAAGACCUAGAGCGGCGCACGGGUGCGUAACGCGUAUGUAACCUACCCUAUACAGGGGGAUAGCCCGGAGAAAUCUGGAUUAAUACCCCAUGGCACUGCGUCUCAGCAUUGGGCUGCAGUUAAAGAUUUAUCGGUAUAGGAUGGACAUGCGUCUGAUUAGCUAGUUGGCGGUGUAACGGACCACCAAGGCGACGAUCAGUAGGGGUUCUGAGAGGAAGGUCCCCCACACUGGCACUGAGAUACGGGCCAGACUCCUACGGGAGGCAGCAGUAGGGAAUAUUGGGCAAUGGACGAGAGUCUGACCCAGCCAUGCCGCGUGCAGGAAGAAGGCGUUCUGCGUUGUAAACUGCUUUUAUCUGGGAAGAAAAGGCCCAUGCGUGGGACAUUGCCGGUACCAGAUGAAUAAGCACCGGCUAACUCCGUGCCAGCAGCCGCGGUAAUACGGAGGGUGCAAGCGUUGUCCGGAUUUAUUGGGUUUAAAGGGUGCGUAGGCGGUUGAUUAAGUCAGUGGUGAAAGUUUUGGGCUCAACCCAGAAAUUGCC
rnacentral:rRNA from 1 species